GACGAACGCUGGCGGCGUGCUUAACACAUGCAAGUCGAACGGAAAGGCCCUGCUUUUGUGGGGUGCUCGAGUGGCGAACGGGUGAGUAAUACGUGAGUAACCUGCCCUUGACUUUGGGAUAACUUCAGGAAACUGGGGCUAAUACCGGAUAGGAGCUCCUGCUGCAUGGUGGGGGUUGGAAAGUUUCGGCGGUUGGGGAUGGACUCGCGGCUUAUCAGCUUGUUGGUGGGGUAGUGGCUUACCAAGGCUUUGACGGGUAGCCGGCCUGAGAGGGUGACCGGCCACAUUGGGACUGAGAUACAGCCCAGACUCCUACGGGAGGCAGCAGUGGGGAAUAUUGCACAAUGGGCGGAAGCCUGAUGCAGCAACGCCGCGUGCGGGAUGACGGCCUUCGGGUUGUAAACCGCUUUCGCCUGUGACGAAGCGUGAGUGACGGUAAUGGGUAAAGAAGCACCGGCUAACUACGUG
rnacentral:rRNA from 1 species